rnacentral:rRNA from 1 species
CGAACGUUGGCGGCGUGGAUUAGGCAUGCAAGUCGAACGAGAAAGCAUCCUUCGGGGUGUGAGUAAAGUGGCGAACUGGUGAGUAACAGGUGGGUAAUGUGCCUCAUGGCGGGGGAUAGCCUUUGGAAACAGAGGGUAAUACCGCAUACGGCUCCUUGGAUAACGGUCCGAGGGGUUAAAGGCUCAUCUUCGGAUGAGUCGCCAAGAGAGCAGCCCGCUCCCGAUUAGCUUGUUGGUGGGGUAACGGCCUACCAAGGCAACGAUCGGUAGGUGGCCUGAGAGGGUGGUCACCCACACUGGGACUGAGAUACGGCCCAGACUCCUACGGGGGGCAGCAGUCUAGAAGCUUCCACAAUGGACGAAAGUCUGAUGGAGCGACGCCGCGUGCGGGAUUGAAGGCCGUAAGGUUGUAAACCGCUGUCAGCAGGGAAGAAUGCCCGGAUGGUGAAUCCGGGAGAGACGGUACCUGCAGAGGAAGCCCCGGCUAAAUCC